ensembl:lncRNA
GAGGCUGUCACUCGAGUGUUCUUGAGCAGAACUGAACCCCCGCACAUACCCAUUUCCUGCCUAUCAUUUGAAGAGGUUCCUUGAGGAGGUUUGAAAAAGUCUGUAUCCUUGGAAACACCUAGUGCCUGCGUGCUCAGUCACUCAGUCAUAUCCGACUCUUUGUGACCACAUGGACCAUAGCUCUCCAGGCUUUUCUGUCCAUGGGAUUCCCCAGGCAAGCAUACUGGAGUAUCCAUUCCCUUCUCCAGGGGAGCUUCCUGAACCAGGAAUCAAACCCGGAUCUCCUGCAAGAUAUGUAUAUAAAAAUAUAUGCACUGCAUCUUAUCUGAGUAUUGUUUGUAGUAAUUAAAAAUCAAGUUUAAUGAAUAAAGAAGUAGUUUAAUGACUUAUGGUGUUUCCUUAUUAAAAUAAAGAGAAUGAGGAAUUAAAAGAUAUGAGGUAUUACUCAACUAUAAAGAAGGAAUGAAAUUGUGUCAUUUGCAGAGACAUGGAAUGGACCUAGAGACUCAUACAGAGCGAAGUAAGUCAGAAAGAGAAAAACAAAUAUUGUAUAUUAACACAUAUAUAUGGAAUCUGGAAAACUGGCACAGAUCAUCUUACUUGCAAAGCAAAAAUAUAGACACAGGUGUAAAGAACAAACAUAUGGACACCAAGGGGGAAGGGAGGCUGGGUGGGAUGAAUUGGAAGGUUGG